rnacentral:rRNA from 1 species
ACUGAGCGGCGGACGGGUGAGUAACGCGUGGGUAACCUGCCUCAUACAGGGGGAUAACAGUUGGAAACGGCUGCUAAUACCGCAUAAGCGCACAGUACCGCAUGGUACCGUGUGAAAAACUCCGGUGGUAUGAGAUGGACCCGCGUCUGAUUAGCUAGUUGGUGGGGUAACGGCCCACCUAGUCUUCGAUGGAUAGGGGUUCUGAGAGGAAGGUCCCCCACAUUGGAACUGAGACACGGUCCAA